GAUGAACGCUGGCGGCGCGCCUAACACAUGCAAGUCGAACGAUUAAAGCACCUUCGGGGGUGUAUAUAGUGGCGAACGGCUGAGUAACACGUGGGCAACCUGCCCCUUUCAUUGGGAUAGGCACGGGAAACCGGGGAUAAUACCGAAUACUUCGAGACAUCGGCAUGGGAGAGUUGGGAAAGUUCCGGCGGAGUGGGAUGGGCCCGCGGCCUGUUAGCUUGUUGGUGGGGUAACGGCCUACCAAGGCAAUGAGGGGUAGCUGGGUUGAGAGGCCGACCAGCCAGAUUGGGACUGAGACACGGCCCAGACUCCUACGGGAGGCAGCAGUGGGGAAUCUUGCACAAUGGGCGAAAGCCUGAUGCAGCGACGCCGCGUGCGGGAUGAAGGCCUUCGGGUUGUAAACCGCUUUCAGCAGGGACGAAGCGAAAGUGACGGUACCUGCAGAAGAAGCCCCGGCUAACUACGUG
rnacentral:rRNA from 1 species